GUCUCAAAAAAGCAAGUGUUGUAGCCAAUGAGAUUUAUCCGAGGUGUGAUUGUUGCUAAUUGAAAACUUUUCCCAAUACCCUGCCAUGAUGACUUGCAAUAUAGUCGGCAUUGGCAAUGUUUGACAGUCUCUGUACAGA
rnacentral:snRNA from 1 species